UUCGUUGUCGUCGAAACCUGAAC
rnacentral:miRNA from 1 species